rnacentral:rRNA from 1 species
AUUGAACGCUGGCGGCAGGCCUAACACAUGCAAGUCGAGCGGAUGAAGGGAGCUUGCUCCUGGAUUCAGCGGCGGACGGGUGAGUAAUGCCUAGGAAUCUGCCUGGUAGUGGGGGAUAACGUCCGGAAACGGGCGCUAAUACCGCAUACGUCCUGAGGGAGAAAGUGGGGGAUCUUCGGACCUCACGCUAUCAGAUGAGCCUAGGUCGGAUUAGCUAGUAGGUGGGUUAAAGGCCUACCAAGGCGACGAUCCGUAACUGGUCUGAGAGGAUGAUCAGUCACACUGGAACUGAGACACGGUCCAGACUCCUACGGGAGGCAGCAGUGGGGAAUAUUGGACAAUGGGCGAAAGCCUGAUCCAGCCAUGCCGCGUGUGUGAAGAAGGUCUUCGGAUUGUAAAGCACUUUUAGUUGGGAGGAAGGGCAGUAAGUUAAUACCUUGCUGUUUUGACGUUACCAACAGAAUAAGCACCGGCUAACUUCGUG